AGAGUUUGAUCCUGGCUCAGAUUGAACGCUGGCGGAAUGCUUUACACAUGCAAGUCGAACGGCAGCACAGGAGCUUGCUCCUGGUGGCGAGUGGCGAACGGGUGAGUAAUGCGUCGGAACGUAUCCAUUAAUGGGGGAUAACGCAGCGAAAGCUGUGCUAAUACCGCAUACGCCCUGAGGGGGAAAGCAGGGGAUCUUCGGACCUUGCGUUAUUGGAGCGGCCGACGUCUGAUUAGCUAGUUGGUGAGGUAAAGGCUCACCAAGGCGACGAUCAGUAGCUGGUCUGAGAGGAUGAUCAGCCACACUGGAACUGAGACACGGUCCAGACUCCUACGGGAGGCAGCAGUGGGGAAUUUUGGACAAUGGGCGCAAGCCUGAUCCAGCCAUUCCGCGUGAGUGAAGAAGGCCUUCGGGUUGUAAAGCUCUUUCGGCAGGGAAGAAACAGUUGAGGCUAAUAUCCUUGACCAAUGACGGUACCUGCAUAAGAAGCACCGGCUAACUACGUGCCAGCAGCCGCGGUAAUACGUAGGGUGCGAGCGUUAAUCGGAAUUACUGGGCGUAAAGCGUGCGCAGGCGGUUUUUCAAGUCUGAUGUGAAAGCCCCGGGCUUAACCUGGGAACUGCGUUGGAAACUGAAAGACUAGAGUGCGGCAGAGGGGGGUAGAAUUCCACGUGUAGCAGUGAAAUGCGUAGAUAUGUGGAGGAAUACCGAUGGCGAAGGCAGCCCCCUGGGCCGACACUGACGCUCAUGCACGAAAGCGUGGGUAGCAAACAGGAUUAGAUACCCUGGUAGUCG
rnacentral:rRNA from 1 species